CAGUCGCCGCGGUAAUACGUAGGGUGCAAGCGUUAAUCGGAAUUACUGGGCGUAAAGCGUGCGCAGGCGGUUAUAUAAGUCAGAUGUGAAAUCCCCGGGCUCAACCUGGGAACUGCAUUCGAGACUGUAUGGCUAGAGUGUGUCAGAGGAGGGUAGAAUUCCACGUGUAGCAGUGAAAUGCGUAGAUAUGUGGAGGAAUACCGAUGGCGAAGGCAGCCCCCUGGGAUAACACUGACGCUCAUGCACGAAAGCGUGGGGAGCAAACAGGAUUAGAUACCCCCGUAGUCCCUGUCUCUUAUAC
rnacentral:rRNA from 1 species